GACGAACCGUCCAAACGUUAUUCGGAAUCACUGGGCUUAAAGGGUGCGUAGGCGGCCCGGUAAGUUGGGUGUGAAAGCCCUCGGCCUAACCGAGGAAUAGCGCCCAAUACUGUCGGGCUUGAGCAAGGCAGAGGUGAGCGGAACUUAGGGUGGAGCGGUGAAAUGCGUUGAUAUCCUAAGGAACACCAGGAGCGAAAGCGGCUCACUGGGCCUUUUCUGACGCUGAUGCACGAAAGCUAGGGGAGCGAACGGG
rnacentral:rRNA from 1 species